CGUACAGAAGAAGAGCAGGGGCGACUCCCCACUCUCAAACCCUAAAAACUCACUAAACUUGCAAAUUGAAGGCUCAAUCCAAGUCAAAAUCGAAAUUAAAGUGUAGAUUAUUGAUCCUCAUCACAAGAGGAUUACAAGUUGGCGCUUAAACAAGCCAGGUGAAGCUUGGAGUGAAAGCGGGUCAAACGAGUCAAGCAUAGAAGAAAAGCGUAGCUCGGAUGCAAGGUGAAUGUCGAGAGUGCACGGAUGGAGAUCAAGCGUCGAGCAAGAACCGAACACGAAUACGAAAUAAGCUUCCGCGCUAUGUAUCGUUAUUAUGUUAAACGACGAACGUACACGUGAUAUGUUGUAUACAUUUAAAUUGUAAAAAGUUUUUAACAAACCCGUAAUUUCCAAUGCAUAUAUAAUCUUAAUUA